GACAGAGGGGGCAAGCGUUGCUCGGAAUCACUGGGCGUAAAGAGCGUGUAGGCGGCCAGAUAGGUCUGCUGUGAAAACUCGAGGCUCAACCUCGAGAUGUCGGCGGAAACCAUUUGGCUAGAGUCCGGAAGAGGAAAGUGGAAUUCCUGGUGUAGCGGUGAAAUGCGCAGAUAUCAGGAAGAACACCCGUGGCGAAGGCGGCUUUCUGGGACGGCACUGACGCU
rnacentral:rRNA from 1 species